AGUGAACGCUGGCGGCGUGCUUAACACAUGCAAGUCGAACGAGAACGGAUUAUAGCUUGCUAUAAUUGUCAGCUAAGUGGCGCACGGGUGAGUAAUGUAUAGGUAAUAUGCCUCUUACUAAGGGAUAAUAAAUGGAAACGUUUGCUAAUACCUUAUACUCCUUAUUAACAGAAGUUAAUAAGGGAAAGAUUUAUUGGUAAGAGAUUAGCCUGUAUUGUAUCAGUUAGUUGGUGGGGUAAUGGCUUACCAAGACUAUGACACAUAACUGGUUUGAGAGGAUGAUCAGUCACACUGGAACUGAGACACGGUCCAGACUCCUACGGGAGGCAGCAGUGGGGAAUAUUGCACAAUGGACGAAAGUCUGAUGCAGCAACGCCGCGUGGAGGAUGACACAUUUCGGUGCGUAAACUCCUUUUAUAUGAGAAGAUAAUGACGGUAUUAUAUGAAUAAGCACCGGCAAACUCCGUGCCAGCCGCCGCAGUAACAC
rnacentral:rRNA from 1 species